rnacentral:rRNA from 1 species
CUACGGGUCGCACCAGUGGGGAAUAUUGCACAAUGGGCGCAAGCCUGAUGCAGCCAUGCCGCGUGUAUGAAGAAGGCCUUCGGGUUGUAAAGUACUUUCAGCGGGGAGGAAGGGAGUAAAGUUAAUACCUUUGCUCAUUGACGUUACCCGCAGAAGAAGCACCGGCUAACUCCGUGCCAGCAGCCGCGGUAAUACGGAGGGUGCAAGCGUUAAUCGGAAUUACUGGGCGUAAAGCGCACGCAGGCGGUUUGUUAAGUCAGAUGUGAAAUCCCCGGGCUCAACCUGGGGACUGCAUCUGAUACUGGCAAGCUUGAGUCUCGUAGAGGGGGGUAGAAUUCCAGGUGUAGCGGUGAAAUGCGUAGAGAUCUGGAGGAAUACCGGUGGCGAAGGCGGCCCCCUGGACGAAGACUGACGCUCAGGUGCGAAAGCGUGGGGAGCAAACAGGAUUAGAUACCCGCGUAGUC